rnacentral:rRNA from 1 species
UGGGGAAUAUUGGACAAUGGGCGAAAGCCUGAUCCAGCAAUGCCGCGUGAGUGAUGAAGGCCUUAGGGUUGUAAAGCUCUUUUACCAGGGAUGAUAAUGACAGUACCUGGAGAAUAAGCUCCGGCUAACUCCGUGCCAGCAGCCGCGGUAAUACGGAGGGAGCUAGCGUUGUUCGGAAUUACUGGGCGUAAAGCGUACGUAGGCGGUGACUCAAGUCAGAGGUGAAAGCCUGGAGCUCAACCCCAGAACUGCCUUUGAAACUAGGUCGCUAGAAUCACGGAGAGGUGAGUGGAAUUCCGAGUGUAGAGGUGAAAUUCGUAGAUAUUCGGAAGAACACCAGUGGCGAAGGCGGCUCACUGGACGUGUAUUGACGCUGAGGUACGAAAGCGUGGGGAGCAAACAGGAUUAGAUACCCCCGUAGUCCCUGAGCGGGCUGGCAAGGCGCAU